AGGUAUCGGGUGAAUAGUUAUAAGUUUGAGACUUUGAGUGGUAAGAAAAUGAUGUUUAGCUUUAAACGGUGGAUGUCUAUGGCUGAAGAUUUAGAAAAUGCAUUCGCAAGAGAGUCAUCAUCAAUUCAUUUCUUCACCUAUCACUUUAAAGGUUGCUCUUGAUUUGGCUGUGAGAAAUGUUGAGGAGCUAGAAAAGUUUCUUGCUGGUGUUCCUCAAAAUAUCAACUCCAAUUUUGUUGCCUAUGGAUAGCUUAUUGUUGUUAAUGAAAAAGUUUAUGUUCAUUUAUAUAAAUUAAAAUUGUAUCUUCUCAAGUGUACAACUAAAAAUAAUAAUCUAAUUAUUUUAAUUUAUAUGGUAA